GGAAGUGUGCACCGAGCGGUCGAAGGGGCAGGUCUUGAAAACCUGUGUGUCAGCAAUGGCACCCUGGGUUCGAAUCCCAGCACUUCCG
rnacentral:tRNA from 1 species